rnacentral:rRNA from 1 species
UACGUAGGGUGCAAGCGUUGUCCGGAAUCAUUGGGCGUAAAGCGCGCGUAGGUGGCCAUUUAAGUCCGCUGUGAAAGUCACAGGCUCAACCUUUGAAAGCCGGUGGAUACUGGAUGGCUAGAGUACGGAAGAGGCGAGUGGAAUUCCUGGUGUAGCGGUGGAAUGCGCAGAUAUCAGGAGGAACACCAAUAGCGAAGGCAGCUCGCUGGGACGUUACUGACACUGAGGCGCGAAAGCGUGGGGAGCGAACAGG